CACGCACCUUCCGUCUUAGAAUCAAUACAUGGUAGCUGGGGGUCCCAUCCUAGCCAGACUCCACGGCUUCUGGCCCCCACACGCCCAAUGUUUCCUGGAGCAGAACCUCGGAGAGGUGUUCAAAGCUCCCGGAAUUGGCCACAAGAGGGCAGAAAGUGUCCAUUAUGGAAAGGCAGCCCACGCCCUGGAAAUAGGGACAGGACCCAUAGGUCAGCCCCCUUGCCCUGGUGAAAUGAAAUACAGCCUAGAUGGGUAGGAGAUGAGACAUCUGCAGAGGUCACCCGAGAAAAGGUGGCAGUGCUGGAUCGGGGAUUGGAGAACUUGGGCUCACAGCUCAACUCGAUUGUGAACUAGGUGAAGUUAGGCAAGUCAUGGCCUGUGCCUCAGUUUCCUCCUCUGUAAAAUGGAGGAGCUGGAUUCCGAGGUCCCCUCCAGCUCCAGUGGGCCUGAGUUACAUGAGCUCAAAGUGGCAGCACCACCACUCAACACUUCUUAAUCGGUGCCAAGAUAAACUGUUCUCUGGGUCAUCCUUCAUUCAUGGAAUAAAAUAGAUAAGGAACCAGAGACUCCCAGAGUUAUGAGAAGCCUGGCCUGACUGACCAGGACUCCUCCAUCUUUUUUCUUCCCUUAGUCUCAAAGACCCAUUAUGUCUCCCUCCCUCCCUCCCUCUCCAUAGAAGACACCAACCAACAGAAAUAUGUAUAUAUAAAUUAUAUCAAGUUAUCAUUCCUUCUCUGGAGGUUGGACAUUCACAAGCUAUUCUUCAAACAUUAAUUUCUGCAGUUGUAGACAUUGGUUCUACUCUUUGGACUCCAUUACUUCAUGUAGGUCUUUCCAAAUUUGCUUGUUGUUGUUGUUGUUGUUGUUGUUGUUGUUUAAUAUUAACCUGUUCAUCAUUUCUUAUGGUGUGGUAGUAUUUUAUCACAUAGAACACAUUUUCUGCUGGGUCCUCUCUUCCCUCUCUCCCUCUGCCUCUGUCUCUGUCUCUCUUCUCUUUCUGUCUGUCUGUCUCUCUCUGUUUCCCUUUCUCUCUCUAUCUGUCUCUGUCUGUCUCUGUCUCCCUUUCUCUCUCUCUGUCUCCUUUUCUCUCUCUCUAUUUCUCUCUGUCUCUUUCCCUUUCUCUCUGUCUGUCUCCCUUUCUCUCUCUCUUUCUAUUUCUCUCUGUCUCUUUCCCUCUCUCUCUGUCUGUCUGUCUCUGUCUCUCUCCCUUUCUCUCUCUCUGUCUGUCUCCCUUUCUCUCUCUCUCUUUCAAUCUUUCUGUCUCUGUCUCCCUUUCUCUCUUUGUCUCCCCUUCUCUCUCUCUCUUUCUAUUUCUCUGUCUCUCUCCCUUGCUCUGUCUCCCUUUCUCUCUCUUUCUCUGUCUCCCCUUCUCUCUCUCUCUGUUUCUCUCUUUCUGUCUGUCUGCCUCUGUCUGUCUGUCUGUCUCCCUUUCUCUCUCUCUCUUUCAAUCUUUCUGUCUCUGUCUCCCCUUCUCUCUCUCUCUCUAUUUCUCUCCGUCUCUCUCCCUUUCUCUCUUUCUGCCUGUCUCUCUCCUUGGUCAGGCUCAUUCACAACAGUCCAUUCAGCUCUCACCUCUAUGCAAAUAACUUCCUUGCCUCGUCACCUAAUGCCUUUUCCAGGCCCCCCAGAAGACCAGUUUCUCCAGGGGCUCCCCAUCUGGAUGGCCCGUCAUGCCCAAUCCGCACGGCGGUCCCCAAGGAGCUCCCCUUUCCUUUGUUUCCCCAAAGUCCUCUUCUCUCGGUCCUCGCUGCCAGUGGCACCGGCCAUCCGUUCCCUCAGCCUCCCGGGCUUGGAGCUUCGGGCUCUUAUCUUCCGCGUGUCGGUUUCCAGCGCUUCUCCUAGCCAACCGGAAGCCGCGCGCCCUACCUUCUCUCUCCCGCCCCGCCAGGGCCAAGCUUCCAAAGCCAGCCUUUCGUGUUGUCUCUUUUACUGA
ensembl:lncRNA